GACGAACGGCUGGCGGCGUGGAUUAGGCAUGCAAGUCGAACGGUAUCAUCCUUUCGGGGGUGAGAGAGUGGCGAACUGGUGAGUAACACGUAGGUUAUCUACCCUCAAGACGGGGGACAACCCAGGGAAACUUGGGCUAAUACCGGAUGUGAGCAACUUUUAGUUGUUUGAAAGGUGGCGUAAGCUGUCGCUUGGGGAUGAGCCUGCGUCCUAUUAGUUAGUUGGUGAGGUAACGGCUCACCUAGGCAAUGAUAGGUAGGCGGCCUUAACGGGUGGUCGCCCACACUGGGAUUGAGAUACGGCCCAGACUCCUACGGGAGGCAGCAGUCGAGAAUAGUCUACAAUGGUCGGAAGACUGAUAGUGCGACGCCGCGUGAACGAUGAAUCCCUUCGGGGUGUAAAGUUCUUUUAUAUGUGAGCAGUGCUUCUUAUAUUAACAGUAUGGGGAGAGAGAUAUUAGCAUAUGAAUAAGCAACGGCUAACUCCGUG
rnacentral:rRNA from 1 species